UAGCCAGUGUUCUAGAAGGGAUUAUCACCAACGAGUGGAAAAUUGUCACUGUGAAAUAAUUGCAGAAAAGAAAAUGUAGGUAAAAAGACCACACUGAGACUCUUCAGGUCUACGUCCCUCUCAAAGGCCCGGAUGAGAGUUCGUGUAAGUAGAGAAAAGUCCUUUAGUGAAACAUUCAAAAUAACAAACAUCAAUUAGACUGUGUGCUCAUAGGGUGUCUUUCAUCUUCAGGCCUGAGAGUGCUCGACAAACACUCAUUAAUCCUGCCAAAUGCUGCUGCCAGCCUCUUGGCAGAGAAGAUGAAGGUCCAAAGCGCCCGGCAGGAGUGGACUUGGAUCAGCUGCUGACGCAGGAGCUCCCCGGGGCUGAUGAGCCGGAGAAGGAUCAUGGGGCGGUCAGUCAGAGCCCCGGGGGGACAGAAAGAACCGUAUUUCCUUAUUCUGAGGAUGGGCGCCAGGAGCACCCUCCUCCCACACCGAAAGGCUGGAAGCUGUCCAGGAUUCCUCCCUGUUCACCUCUAAUUGGUCAUAAAAUUCUGUCCAUGUUACCCGAAGAGCUAUUCUGGUGGCAUGAGCUCAAACCAUCGUUUUUUCUAACCUGGAUUUUUGCACCGAUGCCCUAACAAGCCUUGCCGACCCUCGUCUCGGUCUCGGGCUGCUUCAGUGAUCUCCAAAUUGCCGCCACAGUGAGCCUCCCGCGCGCGCCGGCGCGAAUGUGACCGGAUCCCUUCUCUGUUGGGAGCUCCAGCUGGGGACAAUGUUCAGGCUUCAGGGACCCUAGGCCAAGGCUGUCGUGCGGCCUGGGGCAGCUCUUGGCCCCAAGGCUCCCAGCUGCGCCUGGGACCAGCGGUGCGGCCUUUUGUGCUUUCUCUCCCUGUCUGUGCCCCAGCUGACCUCUCCGGCUGACUUUCCCCAAAAUGAAUGCAAAUGUCAUGCACUGCAAAUGUGUAUUAAUAAAAUAAAAAUUCAAAAAAGGGAAGCCUUCCCCCA
rnacentral:lncRNA from 1 species